UACGUAGGGAGCAAGCGUUGUCCGGAAUCAUUGGGCGUAAAGAGCGUGUAGGCGGCUCGGUAAGUCCGCUCUGAAAGCCCGGGGCUCAACCCCGGGAGGCGGGCGGAUACUGUCGGGCUAGAGUCCGGAAGAGGCGAGUGGAAUUCCUGGUGUAGCGGUGAAAUGCGCAGAUAUCAGGAGGAACACCAAUGGCGAAGGCAGCUCGCUGGGACGGUACUGACGCUGAGACGCGAAAGCGUGGGGAGCAAACAGG
rnacentral:rRNA from 1 species